AAAUAACAAUACGGGGCUUAAAGUCUUGUAAUUGGAAUGAUGGGAAUUUAAACCUCUUCCAGAGUAUCAAUUGGAGGGCAAGUCUGGUGCCAGCAGCCGCGGUAAUUCCAGCUCCAAUAGCGUAUAUUAAAAUUGUUGCAGUUAAAAAGCUCGUAGUUGAAUUUCUGCUGCAUCGCUGUGUCCCUUCGGGGUCUCUGCAUGUGGCUUAUUUCGGACGGAGUUCGCUUUGUCUGGAUGUUUACUUUGAGAAAAUUAGAGUGCUCAAAGCAGGCUUUUGCCUUGAAUAGUUUAGCAUGGAAUAAUAAAGUAGGACUUUGGUUCUAUUUUGUUGGUUUUAGGUACCAAAGUAAUGGUUAAUAGGAACAGUUGGGGGCAUUCGUAUUUA
rnacentral:rRNA from 1 species